rnacentral:rRNA from 1 species
UCGACAGGCUUAACACAUGCAAGUCGAGGGGCAGCGGGGGUAGCGAUACCCGCCGGCGACCGGCGCACGGGUGAGUAACGCGUAUGCAACUUGCCUAUCAGAGGGGGAUAACCCGGCGAAAGUCGGACUAAUACCGCAUGAAGCAGGGAUCCCGCAUGGGAAUAUUUGCUAAAGAUUCAUCGCUGAUAGAUAGGCAUGCGUUCCAUUAGGCAGUUGGCGGGGUAACGGCCCACCAAGCCGACGAUGGAUAGGGGUUCUGAGAGGAAGGUCCCCCACAUUGGUACUGAGACACGGACCAAACUCCUACGGGAGGCAGCAGUGAGGAAUAUUGGUCAAUGGCCGAGAGGCUGAACCAGCCAAGUCGCGUGAGGGAUGAAGGUUCUAUGGAUCGUAAACCUCUUUUAUAAGGGAAUAAAGUGCGGGACGUGUCCCGUUUUGUAUGUACCUUAUGAAUAAGGAUCGGCUAACUCCGUGCCAGCAGCCGCGGUAAUACGGAGGAUCCGAGCGUUAUCCGGAUUUAUUGGGUUUAAAGGGUGCGUAGGCGGCCUUUUAAGUCAGCGGUGAAAGUCUGUGGCUCAACCAUAGAAUUGCCGUUGAAACUGGGGGGCUUGAGUAUGUUUGAGGCAGGCGGAAUGCGUGGUGUAGCGGUGAAAUGCAUAGAUAUCACGCAGAACCCCGAUUGCGAAGGCAGCCUGCCAAGCCAUGACUGACGCUGAUGCACGAAAGCGUGGGGAUCAAACAGGAUUAGAUACCCUGGUAGUCCACGCAGUAAACGAUGAUCACUAGCUGUUUGCGAUACACUGUAAGCGGCACAGCGAAAGCGUUAAGUGAUCCACCUGGGGAGUACGCCGGCAACGGUGAAACUCAAAGGAAUUGACGGGGGCCCGCACAAGCGGAGGAACAUGUGGUUUAAUUCGAUGAUACGCGAGGAACCUUACCCGGGUUUGAACGCAUUCGGACCGAGGUGGAAACACCUUUUCUAGCAAUAGCCGUUUGCGAGGUGCUGCAUGGUUGUCGUCAGCUCGUGCCGUGAGGUGUCGGCUUAAGUGCCAUAACGAGCGCAACCCUUGCCACUAGUUACUAACAGGUGAUGCUGAGGACUCUGGUGGGACUGCCAGCGUAAGCUGCGAGGAAGGCGGGGAUGACGUCAAAUCAGCACGGCCCUUACAUCCGGGGCGACACACGUGUUACAAUGGCGUGGACAAAGGGAGGCCACCUGGCGACAGGGAGCGAAUCCCCAAACCACGUCUCAGUUCGGAUCGGAGUCUGCAACCCGACUCCGUGAAGCUGGAUUCGCUAGUAAUCGCGCAUCAGCCAUGGCGCGGUGAAUACGUUCCCGGGCCUUGUACACACCGCCCGUCAAGCCAUGGGAGCCGGGGGUACCUGAAGUCCGUAACCGCGAGGAUCGGCCUAGGGUAAAACUGGUGACUGG